GAGGCAAGGAGAAGUAACAAACGUGGAGUUGCGCGCCAUGUGUUGCGACGGAAGAGUGCCCUGGCGUGCAAAUCGGCAAACACCAGAAGACUGUAAAAGGAGAACGUCAAGCGUUGUGCGGCGGCACAACAAGGAGUGUAAAAGUAGCGGAAAGAUUACAAUACAAAAUAAUGUUUUUAUAACUGAAUGGAGGAUAAAUCGCAUUUUCGUGAGUUUGUGUACAUCAUAUUGUUGCUCUCAAGAUUUAAAAGAAAACUGAAGAAACGAAUGCACCGAAUAUAAAUCCAGAAAUAAGAAACCAUGUAUUUGUAAACAGAAGUCACAGGAAAGGACUGUCGAGAGCAUUAGUUCAACCGUUAAACAUACUGCGAAGAGAUCAGUGAAUUCAAAGAUCAGUUCCAAAAAGAUGGAGUAACAUCCAUUCUCAUCCUGACACGCAAAAUAUGCACUAUUUGAGACUUGUAACAUGUUAUGUUAUUGAAUAAAGUCAGUAUUUUAACAAAUCGAAGGAGCUAUCAGUUCAGACUG